UCGUUGGCUUCGGAAGACACGACCGGUGCACACGUGACCGAAACACGAUGCCGGGGAGGCGCUGCCGCCCCGGCCCAACGGCCCCGCCCUCUCGCCCUGCGGGCGUUUGGGUCCGGUGCCGAACACGGCGCGGGUUGACGCCAAGGAAAACUGGACUUGCUGAGGCGGCCGGCGGACCGCAUACGCGUUUCGCCCGCUGCCGAUGCGAAGGAACGC
rnacentral:misc_RNA from 1 species